UACGUAGGGUGCAAGCGUUGUCCGGAAUUAUUGGGCGUAAAGAGCUCGUAGGUGGUUUGUCGCGUUGUUCGUGAAAACUCACAGCUCAACUGUGGGCGUGCGGGCGAUACGGGCAGACUGGAGUACUGCAGGGGAGACUGGAAUUCCUGGUGUAGCGGUGAAAUGCGCAGAUAUCAGGAGGAACACCGGUGGCGAAGGCGGGUCUCUGGGCCGUAACUGACGCUGAGGAGCGAAAGCGUGGGGAGCGAACAGG
rnacentral:rRNA from 1 species